CGCGGGUAAACGGCGGGAG
rnacentral:ncRNA from 2 species